UACGGAGGGUGCGAGCGUUAAUCGGAAUUACUGGGCGUAAAGGGCGCGUAGGCGGCUGAUCAAGUCAGGUGUGAAAGCCCACGGCUUAACCGUGUGAAGUGCAUCUGAAACUGGUCGGCUUGAGUAUCGGAGAGGAAAGUGGAAUUCCCGGUGUAGAGGUGAAAUUCGUAGAUAUCGGGAGGAAUACCGGUGGCGAAGGCGACUUUUCGUGG
rnacentral:rRNA from 1 species